GACGAACGCUGGCGGCGUGCUUAACACAUGCAAGUCGAGCGGUAAGGCCCCUUCGGGGGUACACGAGCGGCGAACGGGUGAGUAACACGUGGGUGACCUGCCCUCAGCUCUGGGAUAAGCCUGGGAAACGUGGUACUAAUACCGGAUAUGACUCCAUGACGCAUGUCGUGGGGUGGAAAGCCUUGUGCGGCUGGGGAGUGGGCCC
rnacentral:rRNA from 1 species